AGGGUGUGUGUUGAUGCAAGGU
rnacentral:siRNA from 1 species